UUUACCCUGCCAUCCUCUAUCCACCCCUUCGAGCAGCUCUUCCAUAAGCCACACAGUAAAGAACAACACGGUUCCGCCAACACUCGGGGAUCUCCUUUGGUGUAGCUUGAUACAGACUUCUGUAGCCUCCACCCAUUCAUUCAACAGAUUUAUUGUGCACUGAAUUGAAGCGGGCACAGAAAUAAGUUUCCAAGGGGAAGAGUACUGCACAACCAAUGUCAGAGCAAGGGAGUUUUCUUCAAGUCCAAGAGCUUUAAAACCAAGCUCCACUUCAGAGUGGAUUUUACCACUGGGGUCUGUAAUGGAAAUGCUGACAUAAUCUUAAUUAUGAGAGAGAAUUUCUCUCGGAUGGAAAUGCGCUGACCCAGAAGACUCCAUUCGCAAGUCCUCC
rnacentral:lncRNA from 1 species